rnacentral:rRNA from 1 species
GACGAACGCUGGCGGCGUGCUUAACACAUGCAAGUCGAACGGAAAGGCCCUGCUUUUGUGGGGUGCUCGAGUGGCGAACGGGUGAGUAACACGUGAGUCACCUGCCCUUGACUUUGGGAUAACUUCAGGAAACUGGGGCUAAUACCGGAUAGGAGCUCCUGCUGCAUGGUGGGGGUUGGAAAGUUUCGGCGGUUGGGGCUGGACUCGCGGCUUAUCAGCUUGUUGGUGGGGUAGUGGCUUACCAAGGCGUUGACGGGUAGCCGGCCUGAGAGGGUGACAGGCCACAUUGGGACUGAGAUACGGCCCAGACUGCUACGGGGGGCAGAAGUGGGGAAUAUUGAACAAGGGGCGGAAGCAUGAUGCAGCAACGCCGCGUGGGGGAUGACGGCCUUCGGGUUGUAAACCGCUUUCGCCUGUGACGAAGCGUGAGUGACGGUAAUGGGUAAAGAAGCACCGGAUAACUACGUG